UUUUUUAUAGUGUAACCCAUAACACGUUACAUUUUCAAUGUAAAGAUGAAGAUCAAUUUCUUCUAAAAAUA
rnacentral:tRNA from 1 species